rnacentral:rRNA from 1 species
UGUGCCCGAAAGGGAGCUGGAACACAGGUGCUGCAUGGCUGUCGUCAGCUCGUGUCGUGAGAUGUUGGGUUAAGUCCCGCAACGAGCGCAACCCUUGUCGUUAAUUGCCAUCAUUUAGUUGGGCACUUUAACGAGACUGCCGGUGACAAACCGGAGGAAGGUGGGGAUGACGUCAAGUCCUCAUGGCCCUUAUGGGUAGGGCUUCACACGUCAUACAAUGGUCGGUACAGAGGGUUGCCAAGCCGCGAGGUGGAGCCAAUCCCAGAAAGCCGAUCGUAGUCCGGAUUGCAGGCUGCAACUCGCCUGCAUGAAGUCGGAAUCGCUAGUAAUCGCGGAUCAGCAUGUCGCGGUGAAUACGUUCCCGGGUCUUGUACACACCGCCCGUCACACCAUGGGAGCGGGUUCCGCCAGAAGUAGGUAGCCUAACCGCAAGGGGGGCGCUUACCACGGCGGGGUUCGUGACUGGGGUGAAGUCGUAACAAGGUAGCCGUAGGGGAACC